CAGACGGACAGGGCCAAAUCGACUCAGCUCGUCACCCUGAUCAAGAAUAUUUUCAGGGUAUAAAAAUUCAAGCAAAAAUGCUGGCAAACGGAAAAAGUUAACAGUUCUUUCUUAGCUUUCUAUAAAUGGAACACAAAUUUCUGUAAAUUCUACAAAACAUGCCCCUGUCCAAAAAAUACUGUAAAAUUUAUUUUUGAAAAACCUUAAAAAUUUUGUUAAAAUUGGUUCAAAGUUUAAGUUGGUAGGGGGGGCUAUAAUUAUGACAAGCACUGUAUUUACAAUGAACCAAAUGAGAUAUGGUUGAAAUAAGCAUCUUAAUGUCAGACAGACAACAUUGAUUUGUGGAAGAGUAUGAAUGUGUAGAGUAUUAUAGUGCCAAGCAUAGUCACAAGUGAUAUACUGAUUUCUCGCCUCAUAUUUGGUUUGUCCCGCGUUGACGUCGACCUCCUCGAAAAAUCCCUAAGAAAUUUACAUCAGAGAACUUAUUGCAGAAACAGAUUAAGCAGCUUUUAAAUACUUAAGGAACUUUCUUAAAGAAACAGACCAAAGGAAUCAUGUGUACAAAUAUAUUUUUGUUUAUUUCAAAAAUAUAUACAAUAUGUAAGGAACUGCAAAAUAUACUAGUUGAAUGACUCGAAUUACUUUAGCUAGCAAAUAAUGAGGAAAUUAAAAUGAACUCGUAUUGAUUAAAUUGAUAGCGAGAAUACUUUGCACAUUUCAAUUGGAAACUGCGGAUGACUGGUCGUCGUCUUUUGACGUCUCAAACUAUGUAAGUUUUUACUUAGCUUUUAUUUCAUUUUAAUUUUCAAAUUACUCUCACAACGUACCAUUUUCAUUUCUGCUCCUCGAGCGUAUAUUAUCCACAGCUGCAUAGCCAAUGCUGGAUUUCUGGACGACGACUUAGAUGAAUUCCUGUACUUUGAGUCAUAAUGCACAUGAGUUUUUAUGUUUAAAAAUGGGAGCUUGAAAUAUAAACAUUUAAUGGAAGUUAAAUACGGUAAACGAUGUUGGACAACUUUAAGGAUUUGAAUAAAACGCAAGAGUGUCUGCUGUAAUACUGUGAUAUAAGCCCAUUUGCAGUUAAGAAUAAUGAAAUAUGUUGCUCUACAAGUGUAAGUAUGUAACUGGCGUAAAAUAUAUACAUACAUUAUUAGAUUAGAUGUGCAGGUGCUCGCUUUUUGUGCUUUCUGUGCAAACCGACUAUCAACUAGUCGUGUGGAAGGUGUGGAAUACAGCAUUGUUUUUCGUACUUAUAUCCGUGGCCAAAAGUCGCAAAGGCAACGGCUUUUAGCAAAAUUUCAUUUCGAGCAUAAACUUAUAAUCAUAAACAAGCCAGAGCAACGCCUAAAACAUUCACACUAGCCGACAACACACAAAUGUUCGCUGUGAAGUGUGCAAUCCUCAUACGCCCUAUUCCAAUCCCAUUCCGGAGUCCCGGCGUAGCUGCUCUUCCGCUGGAAUGGGUACAGCGGACGCCCAAGUCAAGAUAAACUGUACGUCUUGAAGCGCAUACGCCUCCCUCCUGGCCGCAGCUCCACUUUGCACUUCAACAUUUACUGAAGGGGAUAGGGGCUGUGCGCCAAUGUGUCUACAUAAAUGUGCACUGCAUGUGUGCUUGUGUGCUUGUAUGCAUGUGAGGAUGUAUGCAUGCAUGCAUACAAGUGUACAUGUAUACAUGUGGGCUUUGACUGCUGGCAUUUUUGCAUGUUUGUCCCGCAAAUUAUGCGUCGCGCACAAACAAAAGCGGAAACUCUGCUGCUGGCUACACUGAAACACUUUUUGGGGCAGAUGAUGGCUCUGGGUUGGGCUGGGCCCGGUUGAGCCUUAGCGAACCUCAUUUUUUACAUGGCCGUAGAGUUUGGCGCGUGUUACUUCCUGCUCAUUUUAUGUUUCGCUGCGAGCAGGAAAUAAUAAUUGCAACAUGGUACUGACUCCCCAGGGUAAAAGUUGCAACUGCAACUGCAAAGAAUGCAUUAGAUGAGCUCAGCAUCCGCGCGCGCAAAAAAAUGUCAUUUGUGGCAAACACUUUGACGCCCCAAAAGCCGAUUUGUUAACCCACAUUUCAGGCCAUGCCAUUAAUUUUUGUUACCCCACGGAAUGACCGAUUGUUUUUAAUGACCCGCGAGAGAGUCUGCUCCAAGUUAAUAGACCGCAACAUACACUUAUGCAACAUUUUACGCCUCAAUGUAGAAAUAAAUACCUUAGUCCUAUAUCGUUAAAAUAUAACGUCUCACUAUGGAAUGUAUGAUAUCUGCAGAAUAUCAAAUCUAUUAUAAAACCUAAUUUUAUAUAUACUGUUUUAUAUCUCGCAGUAACCGACUCCAUCUCUAAAAGAGGAUAAUUUUGAGAUAGCUGUAACAGUUUACAGUGAUCAGUCAAUCAAUCCCAAGUCACUUGUUUAAUUUUUGUAAAUAAAACUCAAGUCUCAUAAUCCACACGCACACAUACAUAUAUGUUUGUAUAAAUAUGCGUCUAGUGCCCUGUAUAUCCGACUGUUAAAACAUUUUGGUGUAAAGCCCGAUAACUAAAUUAAGACCAACUUAACUUGAAGAGUAUGUCUUUCACAUGAUAGCAUUAAAACAACACUCAAACCAUUUCCGUUCCGACGAAAUCGAUUAUUAUUAUCGAUAUUCUAUAAAUAUCACACAAAGAAAAUCGAUAGUAAUCGAUUUCGUCGAAACGGAAAUUGUUGGAGUGUUGUUUUAACGCUUCAAGUAUUUAAGUAUAUGUACUAUAUAUAUAUUGUAUAUACACAAACUUAAACUUAAAAAGAUAAUUAGACUUAUUUCUGAAAAUGUGUUUGUCAUAAAUAACAACAAAGUUUUUCAAUUUAUGACAAAGGAAUAGACACUCAAACGAUUUUUUGCAGGCAGCAUCAGACAUGUAAAUAUUUUAUUUUGAAAGAAGGUCAGUAAAGUAUGUGAACGAUAUAUUGAGAAAGCUCGGCGAAGUUCGCUUAUUCACUUCUUUUGAUUUUAUAUAUAUUUCCUUUGUCUCAAUUGCGAUUGAAAUUCGCUUUAAAAACCAAAUCGAAAUCGAAAUCAGUGAUCCCAAAGCUCUCACAGAGAAUUCUAGCUUUACUUAAAUAAGGCGAGUUUUACAGUAUCUAACUUCAUCGUAAAUUUGUCACAUUCUUUAUGUUUCCUGCAAAUUCAGUGCAUUUCCGUGCCAUGUGACC